rnacentral:misc_RNA from 1 species
CAGAAAGUAGAAACCAGGUUGUGUCCCAAGCAGUAGACAAACAGACGCAGACUUUAUUGCCUACAAAGCUAGUUUGCCUUAUCAUUUUCCUUCGUCAGCUCGUGAUAAUAUUGAAAAAGAUGGCUGACAGCGAUAGCGAUGGUCCCUGUGAACCUGCUCUGGCAAUUGAUGAAAGUGUAGCGGCAGACAUGGAUCUCAACGUUCCCGCAACGUCUGGCAACGAGUAUCUUCGUCGUGUCAGAUUGGAAGCCAUGGAGUGUCCCAAAGUUGUUGUUGCUGACAUGGAUACAAGUUCUUUCCUAACCCAACAGACAGUGAAAGUGUCAGAACCAGGAGGUCUGCUGCCAGUUCCAGUGUCGUACAAGGCGCCAAUGUCCUGGCAGAGAAUGCAGGUAGCGGAGUUUGCAGCCCUGAGACAGAAACUGAUCCAGUUCAAAGCUCUGCUCAAGCAAAAGAAAAUAAAUGUUCCGUCUCCAAAACUGCCUCAAGCCAACGACGCUGACACCUGGUGCCGUUUGUGCUUUGGUCGACUCAAAGUGAAAAUAGACCAGGGUGAUAACUCAAGCACCAAUGCAUCAUCUGAGAAUGAGAAAGUGCCGGUGGAUUCCCCAGGGGAAGGGACGCCUCCGCUGUUACACAUUGUCGCUCACAUGAACCAGCAUCAGGUGACCUGUGUGUUAGAGUACCACACCAACUGGCUGGAGGCUACAGGGUUCACAUCUGCGCAGGGUCGCUGGUUCUACGCUUUAUUGGCCAACCUGCAGAAACCUCUCAGUCCAGAAGUGUGCUCCUGGCUGCGUCGCUUGGCACGUCUGUGUUCCAACAUCAGAGCUUCUCUGGAGGAUGUUGAUCAGCCCAUGCUGAAGGAAUUGAACCUGAUCAUCUGCCUUGUGUCUCGUUACUUUGACCAGAGGGAUUUGGCCGACUCCUGACUCACAGACUCAUGUCUCCCGUGAAUCACACAGCUGCAGAAUGAAAUAGUGUACAUACUUUUGAAUUUAUGUAUGAUUUGAAUUUUACCGUUGGCGUUAGUUUGUUGCCUUCUUUGGUGUGCUGAUGGUAAUGUGUGAUGUGUUGAGAGAGGGCCCUUGUCUGGUAUUGUGAAAGUUGUGUGAGGGAAACGGUCGGUUUGAAGGUGAAGGGUUGGACACACAACAUCAUUAAUUGUCUGAUUUGUUGUUGUUGUUCUCAAAUCCCUUUAGCUGCGAGCAUUUCGCUCUUGGCAGCGCAAUGCCUCCCUCAAGUAACCACAUGUCCUUGUCAAAUUGUAUCAUUAAAAAGUGACUGCUUGCCUUCUCUGUCUAGUGAAAGGGGAGGUUGUUAUCAAUUCUUCUCUGUCUAGUGAAAGGGGAGGUUGUUUUAUCAAUUCUUCUCUGUCUAGUGAAAGGGGAGGUUGUUUUAUCAAUUCUUCUCUGUCUAGUGAAAGGGGAGGUUGUUAUCAAUUCUUCUCUGUCUAGUGAAAGGGGAGGUUGUUAUCAAUUACUUUAGUGCCUGAGGGUUUCACACAGUAACUGUCUAGUCAUAUUUGUUUCAGUAAGCUUGUUCAUUGUGUGAUUGGAAAACGGGUGUUGUUGUCAUGUUGUGCUUAUUUUCAUAGAGUAGAGGCAAGUGAUAUAUCAAAAUGGAGAUUAAAGGAUAAGGAACAAUAGUAUAGAUAAAAAUUGAAAGUAAACAGCACAGAAAUAGUUAAACAGGUAAACAGUUAUUGAAAGUGCUUCAAGGAGAGUUGAUUUAUGAAAGUCUUUUAUUGCAUUCACAGCCUUCCGGCUGGGUCUGCAUUAUUGUUAUCCAUUUCUAAUUCCUGAUCAAAUAAAAUAGGUUUGUUUCUGUACACAUUUACAGUUUUACUUUUCGUAAUAGUUUUACGACACUUGCAACACAAUAAGGUCAUAUAAGUGCCGAAGAUUAGAGGUUUUACAAAAGAGUAACAAACAAACACAAAAAAGGAGGAGAGAGUAGGACAAUAGAUGUUUGAUAGGAAAGAAGGAGCAAACCACACCAGAGCACCCACCAACCACCCUCAUUUGCAGUUUGAAAGUCUUCCAAUUUAUUAUGAUUUUGUGCUCAUUUCUGCAAUGUCUGUGUAAAUGAAAAUAAAACUGGAAAUAUAACGAAU